AUUGAACGCUGGCGGCAGGCCUAACACAUGCAAGUCGAGCGGAUGAAGGGAGCUUGCUCCUGGAUUCAGCGGCGGACGGGUGAGUAAUGCCUAGGAAUCUGCCUGGUAGUGGGGGAUAACGUCCGGAAACGGGCGCUAAUACCGCAUACGUCCUGAGGGAGAAAGUGGGGGAUCUUCGGACCUCACGCUAUCAGAUGAGCCUAGGUCGGAUUAGCUAGUUGGGGGGGUAAAGGCCUACCAAGGCGACAAUCCGUAACUGGUCUGAGAGGAUGAUCAGUCACCCGGGAACUAGAACACGGUCCGGCACCCACCGGGAGGAAGGAGGGGGAAAUUUUGGCAAAGGGGCGAAACCCUGAUCCAGCCAUGCCGCGUGUGUGAAGAAGGUCUUCGGAUUGUAAAGCACUUUAAGUUGGGAGGAAGGGCAGUAAGUUAAUACCUUUCUGUUUUGACGUUACCAAAAAAAUAAGCACCGGCUAACUUCGU
rnacentral:rRNA from 1 species